CAGUGAUAAACUCCCAUUAACAAUGCUUUGGUGAUAAAUGACAAAACUGCUUUUAAACAACCAACCAACGAUGAAUGGUGGUAACAAGAAAGAGCUGAUUAAACCUCAGAAUUGGCGUUGAAGGGACCGCAAAAAAUGACAGUUUCUUAUGGGAUUUUGCAGUAGUGCGACUGAAUACAAUGCGAAUGGCGAUGAAACCCGCACAGAUUAAGGCAAUCAAAUUAAGUUUCUCCAUAGGAGUGAAGAGCUACAGAGUCGUCGUCAGAGUCAAUAAAAAUUUUGAUUAAUGAUGCCUAAUAAAUUUGAAAAAUAUCAUUUUUUUAUUAGAAUGA